GAUGAACGCUGGCGGCGUGCCUAAUACAUGCAAGUCGAGCGAACAGAUAAGGAGCUUGCUCCUUUGACGUUAGCGGCGGACGGGUGAGUAACACGUGGGUAACCUACCUAUAAGACUGGCAUAACUCCGGGAAACCGGGGCUAAUGCCGGAUCACAUUUAGAACCGCAUGGUUCUAAAGUGAAAGCUGGUUUUGCUAUCACUUAUAGAUGGACCCGCGCCGUAUUAGCUAGUUGGUAAGGUAACGGCUUACCAAGGCAACGAUACGUAGCCGACCUGAGAGGGUGAUCGGCCACACUGGAACUGAGACACGGCCCAGACUCCUACGGGAGGCAGCAGUAGGGAAUCUUCCGCAAUGGGCGAAAGCCUGACGGAGCAACGCCGCGUGAGUGAUGAAGGUCUUCGGAUCGUAAAACUCUGUUAUUAGGGAAGAACAAAUGUGUAAGUAACUGUGCACGUCUUGACGUUACCUAAUCAGAAAGCCACGGCUAACUACGUG
rnacentral:rRNA from 1 species